rnacentral:misc_RNA from 1 species
UCAACGGCCGCGUCCCCGCUACCCGCAUUAUCACAAAAUCUCCGAAGUUGACGUUGUCGCGCUGUUGUGGUCGCUGCACUUGCUUCGUCGUGUGGACAUGGUGCACCCGCGUAUCGUGAGAACACCGUCGGAAGAGCGCCAGUACCGCAAGGAAGCGAGGCUGGUCCGCAUACGCAAACAGACCGAGGAACAACGGGCCAUCGCGCGUUCGAAGCACGCCGCAUUGCAACGCCGCAGGCGCCAGGACGCCGCUCUUCGGGAACGCGAGAAAGAGGCGCGACGGCGACGCCGAGCGCGUACAGCCAACGUACAGCGCGCGCUCGGCCAGCGUACGUGUGGUUCGGGCUUAAUUGCGCAGGUGGAAGCGGACAAACGUCGUGCUAGUCGUGCGAAGCGUGGAGACCGUGGAGACGAGGUGGUGCGUCAGCGAAAGGCCGAGGCGAAGCGGCGACGUCGACAGGACCCCGAAAUUCGGCAGCUUGAAGCGGCCAAACGGCGUGCAAGGCGUCAAGACGAGGUGGUGCGUCAGCGAGAGGCCGAGGCGAAGCGACGACGUCGACAGAACCCCGAAAUUCGGCAGCUUGAGGCGGCGAAACGUCGCGCCCGCCGCGAAGAUUUGGCUGUGCGCCUACGAGAGGCAGAGGACGGACGGAGGCGCCGUCAAAACCAGCGAGAGGCCAAAGAGGAGGCAUCGCAGGCACAAGAGGCGGACUGGCAGUCGCGGCUGAGGCAACGAACGCAACUUUCCAAAGGACAGAAUGAGUGUUGUGACGCUUGCUUUUGUCCGGCCUUCGAAGAACAACUUUCGCCCAUUGACACCACUUACGUGUCUUUGCUUGCCGUCGAAUUUCCGAACGAAGACGUCGACUCCUUCGUGCUGUGCUCCUUGUGUCACGCCGCACUGAGAGCUCGUCUACGCAACAUCUACGCACAUCCCGUUAAUGCCACAGGCUUAUGUGUAGAUCACUUUCUGUGCAGUAGCGAUUAUGAAGACACCCAGAGCCUUGUGCACAGCUGUACCCAAGAAAACUACCAACAACAGGCCGGGAAAGCCAAGGUGGACUGUUGCUUGCAGACAGAUGGAACUGGAAAGAUCCAUUGCCUUGUGCAGACCGAGGACACUCUAAAGAGAACUGCUGAGCUGUCCACUGACAAAUGCACAAGGGUUAUUGCUGUGCAGACCGAAGAAUGGCCAUGGCUACAGUUCUGCGAGUCUACUUGUGGCGAUACUGAGGACGAAAGUGAAUAUCCAGUCACUGAUGGGAUAAAAACUGAAGAUUGGCUCUGAGAACAAGAAAGGCCAAAAUAAGUUGAUGACAAGGAAGGCCUUUUUCCAGUAACUACUCCAGUCAAGAGGAGAUCGGACACUUGCAAGUGACAACUUUUGCGCUUGAAAUCUGCCAGAAGGACUUUUCUACGAAUGAAGAAACUUUCAGGGCACACCCAGAGGUCCUACAAGAAGAAAGGCCUCACAAGUGUAGACUGGGGUACACGCUCUGCUGCAGCAUUCCGCGUAGCACAUUAUGCUAGCUGUGGCGAGUGCAGGUCUGCUGGGCAGCAAGAAGAGCUUCACCAUCAAAACCAGCCUCAACUAGCAUGUGCUAGCCAUCCCAGAUGAGAGACGUCUUUCCGCCAUGGUGUGCAUCCGUGGCAAUGCAGGAGCAGCAUCUUUUGUGAGAGUGUGUGGGGGUUGCUUGCAUCAUUGUGUGGCAGUGCGUAAAGGAGAACGUGCCAUGCAGCAGCUGAAGGUUCGGCCAACGAGCAUUCGUAUUGCUUCAAGGAUGCUGCAAAAAUAGCACAGUGUUUGAUGCUUCGUAAGCAGCCUGUGAAAACUCGGGGAGGAGACUGCUGCGAACCACUGCCGGAAGUGUGUGUGUGCGUUGUGUGAUUUCCACUGGGUCUAUUGUUAAGCUCGAAUAGUACUAUCAUGAGCAGUAUGAGCGGGAACAUGCGAGUGCGUGGCAAAUAGCUUCAAACCUGAUGCAGGGCAAUUUGUGUCCCACUAAAUGACGGCACGCCCUCCUUGCUAUUGCUCAUCAAGACUGCAUUUAAUCGUCUGC